AUUGAACGCUGGCGGCAGGCCUAACACAUGCAAGUCGAGCGAGCGGCGGACGGGUGAGUAAUGUAUGGGAAUAUGCCCGAUAGAGGGGGAUAACUACUGGAAACGGUAGCUAAUCCCGCAUACUAUCGGAUGAACCCAUAUGGGAUUAGCUAGUAGGUGGGGUAAAGGCUCACCUAGGCGACGAUCUCUAGCUGGUCUGAGAGGAUGACCAGCCACACUGUAACGGAGACACGGCCCAGACUCCUACGGGAGGCAGCAGUGGGUAAGAUUGCACAAUGGGCGCAAGCCUGAGGCAGCCAUGCCGCGGGUAUGAAGACGGCCUUAGGGUUGUAAAGUACUUUCAGCGGGGAGGCGUUACCCGCAGAAGAAGCACCGGCUAACUCCGUGCCAGCAGCCGCGGGAAUAC
rnacentral:rRNA from 1 species